rnacentral:pre_miRNA from 1 species
AUGACCUAUGAUUUGACAGACUGUGCUUUCUAAGUUUGUCUGUCAUUUCUGUAGGCCAAUA